ACGCAAUUAAGGAAGUUUAUUUGUUCAAGCUAACCUGCUACUGUCAGUAACAUGAGUGAGUCCAGAGAAUUUAGAACACAGAUGUCUCCUCCUCCAGAUCUGAUAGCUCGAUUUCAGCUGAAGAGACUGUCGGUACGGCUGGUCGACUGCCGCACAGCACCAGGACAAACUAUCAACAGCCAACUGUGUGGGAUAUCACCUCUCAAAGUGCACCAGCGCAUUCACACUGGAGAAAAGCC